CUUUCUAAGUUGCAUAAGGACAAACCCCCGGUUUCCUUGUCACGGCAACUCUCUCCUGUCAGUCUUCUCCUAUUCCCCUUACUGCUCCUAUUUGCGUAACGGACCAGAUGUAGUGCUGUCGAAACUCACUCCUUCACUCGGCCGUGAAGAAGGAAUAUCCCACCACUACAGCCUGCGGUAGGUUACCUUCAAGACAAUGUGGUGUUUGGGUCGACUCUCAGUAUUGUCACCACUCGAAGUCCAGCAUUGAGUAUGGUUCCCUGGAUUUGGCACAGGGAGCGUGAAAGACCCGUACGAAAGUAGAUUCAGGCAUGUGAGAGAAUUAACCAGGUCGGUAUUCGAGUCAGGUUGUUUGGGAAUGCAGCUCAAAGUGGGCGGUAAAAUCCAUCUUAGGCUUAAUACAAGCAAAAGUCCAAUAGCGAACAAGAACAAGGAUUGUCACCACUCGAAGUCCAGUUAAAAAGUACUUUCAAAAGAGAGAGGGAGUUAGCAGUACGUGAAACUGCUUAUAGGUAAACGAGUGGCGUCAAGCUGCAUGCCUAGAUGAUUCACUUGUUUGGUGUGUAUGCGUGUCUGGUGCGUCUGUGGGACGGACAGUCCGCUGUGAGAAGGUGGGCCUGGCCGUUUGGUAAACGGAACUGGCGCUGUGGAAUAAACCAAACGCCCGGUUAAGGUGCCUAACGCUGACGCUCAUGAGAUACCACAAAAAUUGUUGUUUAAUAUAGACAGCAGGACGGUGGCCAUGGAAGUCGGCAUCCACUUAAGAGUGUGUAACAACUCACCUGCCAAAUUGAUCAGCCCUGAAAUGGAUGGUGCUGGAGCGUCGGACAUAUACCGGGCCGUCAUCGCAAGCUGGAUCACUGGCUAUGCUUGGUGGUGUGAGCAGCACAUGGCUGGUUGCGUGAACAAAAAUCGGUCGCUGUCUUGCGAAGUCAUGAUCCAGUAAAGGAAGCGGUUGCGAGCAGGAGGGUCGCCGUGGUGAGCGUGGAAACCUUGGACGUGAAUAUAAGUGCAGCCACCAUGGGUGAAGAUCUGGGUGGUAGUAGCAAAUAUUCAAGUGAGAAACUUGAAGGCCGAGGUGGAGAAGGGUUCCAUGGGAACAGCAGUUUGCCAUGGGUCAGACAGUCCUAAGCGAUCCGGUGUCUCGGUACAGAGACGCGGGGUGCCUUGCAUACUUCUGUGUGUGUGCGUGUGCGCGCCUGCAACUGGCAGCCACCCGGAGCGAAAGGCAAUCGGGUUAAUAUUUCCGACCCUACCCACGGAGAUAGACAAGCGUUUGGCUGGGCCGUCAGUGUGUGCAAAUUUUUUGGUGUAUGCAGCUGUGGUCCGUGUCUGGGCGUUGCUAAGCGCGAUAACUCAAGCAAACUCGGAGACAUCGGCUUCAGUUCCGGGAAGAAUUUUUUUUUCUUUGUAAGGAGUGCCCACCACCCCUGGAAUUGGGUGUUCCGGAGAUAUGGAAUAUCGCCUGCGUAAAGCACCACCCCUCUUGUGGUGUCCAGAACACUCUGGUCAGUCCUUGAAAAACCGAGGGAGGCAUUAUGAUUUUCGUGACAGGCCGUACCCAUUUCCGCAUCACGUUACUAAUGUAAACAGCCUUUGGCAAUAGAAUAAUGUAGUUAAGUUAAGUUGGCAUCUUCGAUCCGUAACCUCGGAAAAAGGAUUGGCUCUGAGGGCCGAGUCCGACACGCUGGGCAAAGAAACGUGUCCGCUCAGCCUGCGGCUGGCUAGUUGGCUAGGUUGACUGUGGCUGCAACUGCCGCUGCUGCUGCUGCUACUGCUGCUGUUGGGU
rfam:Schistocephalus solidus strain NST_G2 genome assembly, scaffold: SSLN_scaffold0010621